GUCGCGACGCCCAGAAAACCCAGAACGGGAUUGAAAC
rfam:Halophilic archaeon DL31, complete genome.